rnacentral:misc_RNA from 1 species
GCAAACUUGGUCAUUUAGAGGAAGUAAAAGUCGUAACAAGGUUUCCGUAGGUGAACCUGCGGAAGGAUCAUUAACGAAUAACUAUGGUGUCUUGGUUGUCGCUGGCUCCUCGGAGCAUUGUGCACGCCCGCCAUUUUUAUCUAUCCACCUGUGCACCGAAUGUAGGUCUGGAUGACUCUCGCCUUCGGGCGGAUGCGAGGUUUGCGUGCGAGCGCUCUCCUCGAAUUUCCAGGCUCUACGUCUCUUUACACACCCCAAACGUAUGAUGCAGAAUGUAGUCAAUGGGCCUUUACAAGCCUAUAAAACACUAUACAACUUUCAGCAACGGAUCUCUUGGCUCUCGCAUCGAUGAAGAACGCAGC